AGUGAACGCUGGCGGCAGGCCUAACACAUGCAAGUCGAACGGCAGCACAAGAGAGCUUACUCUCUGGGUGGCGAGUGGCGGACGGGUGAGGAAUGCAUCGGAAUCUGCCCAUUUGUGGGGGAUAACCUCGGGAAACCGGGACUAAUACCGCAUACGACCUACGGGUGAAAGCAGGGGAUCUUCGGACCUUGCGCAGAUGGAUGAGCCGAUGCCGGAUUAGCUAGUUGGAGGGGUAAAGGCCCACCAAGGCGACGAUCCGUAGCUGGUCUGAGAGGAUGAUCAGCCACACUGGGACUGAGACACGGCCCAGACUCCUACGGGAGGCAGCAGUGGGGAAUAUUGGACAAUGGGCGCAAGCCUGAUCCAGCCAUGCCGCGUGUGUGAAGAAGGCCUUCGGGUUGUAAAGCACUUUUGUUGGGAAAGAAAAGCAGCCGGUUAAUACCCGGUUGUCAUGACGGUACCCAAAGAAUAAGCACCGGCUAACUUCGUG
rnacentral:rRNA from 1 species